rnacentral:tRNA from 3 species
GGCGAGAUAGCUCAGUUGGCUAGAGCAUUCGGUUCAUACCCGAAGGGUCGAGGGUUCGAAUCCCCCUCUCGCUACCA